rnacentral:tRNA from 1 species
GGCCUGUUGGUGAAACGGUUAACACACAUGCCUUUCACGCAUGCAUUUAUGGGUUCGAACCCCGUACAGGUCACCA